GAUAAUGGCUUUUACAGCUUCCUCCUCUAACACAGAUGUUCACUGGAGUGAAGUAAACCAAAGGUCAUACACUGUGGAAUGCUUACUGCAAGAAUUUCCAUCACACUGACCUUGAAAUGGAAAUGGCCGAUAUAGUUGACAAAGAUUUAUGGGUGUCCAAGUUCAAAAGUCUGACAGCUGAGCUUGAACACAUCACUCGCCAGAAAGCCCAGCUCGCCCAAAGUCACAAAUGGAGCGAAAUUGAAAGCCUCCCAACAACCGAGAAACUUGUGUUUGACACAUGGAAUGCUCUUCCUGACAGUUAUAGAAACAUGAAGAAGUAUGCAUUUGGAGUAUUAUCCAUCUUUGGAUCAACAUACCUGUGCGAGCAGAUAUUCUCAAACCCAAACUACAUCAAAUCCAAAUACCGCACCCGCCUUACAGAUGAAAGCUUGUAGUCUUGCGUGAAGAUUAAAGUUACAUCUUACAUGCCCGAUGUUGAGAAGCUGUCCAGUGAUGUCCAAAAAAAGAAGUCACAUUAAACGGGUCCAGGAUGGCUGCGUUGUAUUGUGCGUGUCAAAAAAGAAGAGGAUGCUGCUGCGUUUUACCCUUGCACUGACAUACAGGUCCUUCUCAAAAUAUUAGCAUAUUGUGAUAAAGUUCAUUAUU